GUGCUCACUUCGGCAGCACAUAUACUAAAAUUGAAAACAAUACAGAGAAGAUUAGCUGUGCCCCUGUGAAAGGAUGGCACACAAAUUCGCGAAGUGUUCGAAAUUUUU